rnacentral:rRNA from 1 species
AGCGAACGCUGGCGGCAGGCCUAACACAUGCAAGUCGAACGAACCCUUCGGGGUUAGUGGCGGACGGGUGAGUAACACGUGGGAACGUGCCUCUAGGUUCGGAAUAACUCAGGGAAACUUGUGCUAAUACCGAAUGUGCCCUUCGGGGGAAAGAUUUAUCGCCUUUAGAGCGGCCCGCGUCUGAUUAGCUAGUUGGUGAGGUAAUGGCUCACCAAGGCUACGAUCAGGAGCUGGUCUGGGAGGAUGACCAGCCACAUUGGGACUGAGACACGGCCCAAACUCCUACGGGAGGCAGCAGUGGGGAAUCUUGCGCAAUGGGCGAAAGCCUGACGCAGCCAUGCCGCGUGGAUGAUGAAGGUCUUAGGAUUGUAAAAUCCUUUCACCGGUGAAGAUAAUGACUGUAGCCGGAGAAGAAGCCCCGGCUAACUUCGUGCCAGCCGCCGCAGUAAAAC